ensembl:lncRNA
GGGAGCCCAAGUUGUGCAAGUUCCCCAUUGUAAAUACUAUUGGAUUCUUGUGUUAACUUUGAACAUUGUUAUACUGUCACGCCCUGGCCAUAGAGAGGCUUUUAUUCUCUAUUUUGGGUAGGCCAGGGUGUGACUUGAGUGGGCAUUCUAGUUUCUUUAUUUCUAUGUUUUCUGUUUCUAUGUUUUGGCCGGGUAUGGUUCUCAAUCGGGGACAGCUGUCUAUCGUUGUCUCUGAUUGGGAAUCAUACUUAGGCAGCCUUUUUGUCUUUUGUAGUUUGUGUGUAGUUGUCUUUGUUAGUGGCGCUAUUGCCCUAGUCAGCUUCACGUUUGUUUCUUGUUUUGUUGGCGACAUUUAUAAUGAAUUAAAGGAAAAUGUACGCUCACCACACUGCACCUUGGUCCGGUCAUUUCCACGACGACGGCCGUGACAUAUACUCGGAGUAUAGGAACAUUAGUUACAAAAGAGACAUGAGAGGGGGCCAUAAUGAAGCUUGGGAGGGGCUGAGUGCAGGGAACACGAUCAUGUGUGACAGUACUGAUAAGGUGGAGAAACCGUGGAAGGCUCAUAUCACUUAGUUCCCUGGUGCAAUGUUUAGAGAUAAGGAGACUCCACCCAAUGUUUAGAGAUAAGGAGACUCCACCCAAAGUGGGGUAUGAAUACCGCUACAGGGGAAGCCUUGUCUGUGUCCAAAUUACAGCUGUAUCGACCCUUUGGGAUGAAUUCCACUUGGUUCAGCUUCUCUGGUGUCCUACCUGAGCCCUAGGACCAUGCCUCAGGACUACCUGGCAUGAUGACUCCUUGCUGUCCCCAGUCCACCUGGCCGUGCUGCUGCUCGUCGGGCUUCCAUGCCUUAGCUGGCUCAUCGGGCUUCCAUGCCUUAGCUGGCUCAUCGGGCUUCCAUGCCUUAGCUGGCUCAUCGGGCUUCCAUGCCUUAGCUGGCUCGAGAGGUCUUCUUGUCUUGGUGGGCUCGGCAGGCACCCACCCCACAUCAUGAUUCAGCCGGCUCACCAAGACUCCAACGCCUCUGUCGGCUCGCCAGGCUCCAACGCCUCUGUCGGCUCGCCAGGCUCCCACACCUCUGCCGGCUUGCCCAUGGCUCGGCCGGCCCGUCAGGCUCGCCCAGGUGGGACCCCGGGUGACGCCCCUAGAGGGGGGGGUACUGUCACGCCUGCUCCCGCUCUCCCUCUCUGGUGCUCGAGUGCGCCAGGCUGCCCUUCAUUACGCACACCUGUCACCAUGAUUACGCACAGCUGUCAAUAUUGGACUCACCUGGACAACAUUACUUUGUUGAUUACCCCCUCUAUUUCUGUCUGCUCCUCAGUUUGUUCCCUGUGUCAGCAUUGAUGUUGUUAUUUUUCACCUGUCCAGACGCUGUUCAUGUUCUGUUUCAUGUCCGUAUUACAUUAAAUGUUCACUCCCUGUACCUUCUUCUUGUCUUCAACAUUGUUCCUUACAAAUAUAGUGUAGAAGAGGUCAGACAAUGCGUUUUGUAGAGAUUCCUAUGUUGUUGAUGUAAAGGUAUAUUCAUCACAAAACCCACUGACACUCCACAUCCAAGUAUAACUGAUCAAAUUAUGAAAGACAAGCAUUGCACUUUUGAAUUCCGUAAAGUGAGUGUGGAAGAGGUUCAACAAUUGUUGUCUAUCAACAAUGACAAGCCACGGGGUCUGACAACUUGGAAUUAAAAUUACUGAGGAUAAUAGUGGACGAUAUUUUCCAUAUAUUCAAUCUAAGCCUACUAGAAAAUGAGUGCCCUCAGGCCUGGAGG